GGGAGACAGAGGUUACAGUGAGCCAAGAUAGCGCCACUGCCUGGUGACAGAGCGAGACUCCGUCUAAAAAAAAAAAAAAGAAAAAAAAAGAAGCUCCAGGCAUGGGAGCAGAGCUUAUCACUUCUCAAUUUCGUCAUUAACCACCCUCUCUCGACACUUUAAAUAAACCUAAAAUUAUUGUGAAAGAAUAACAUGCUUACUGUGCUACCAACCUUCAAAGUAUGUACUCUGUCCCCAACCCCAGACCUGCUGCUACACACACCCAUACCUUUCAACCACAUUGCUAGCUGGAUGCAGAGGCUCGGGCCUGUAAUCCCAGCACUUUGGGAGGCCAAGGCGAGAGGACCACUUGAGCCCAGGAGUUCAAGACCAGCCUGGGCAACAUAGUGGACCCCAUCUCUA
rnacentral:lncRNA from 10 species